rnacentral:tRNA from 1 species
CAGAAAGUAGUUUAAAUGUAAAAAUAUUAAUUUUGGGGAUUAAUAAUGGGAUAAGGAAUCUCCUUUCUGA